rnacentral:rRNA from 1 species
AUGAACGCUAGCGGGAGGCUUAACACAUGCAAGUCGAGGGGGUAACAGGGGUAGCAAUACCUGCUGACGACCGGCGUACGGGUGAGUAACGCGUAUGCAACCUGCCCUAUACAGGAGGAUAGCCCGGAGAAAUUCGGAUUAAUACUCCAUGUAGCAUUUUUUCGCAUGAAUUAGAUGUUAAAGAUUUAUCGGUAUAGGAUGGGCAUGCGUCCCAUUAGCUAGUUGGUGAGGUAACGGCUCACCAAGGCAUCGAUGGGUAUGGGGUCUUAAAGGAUGGUCCCACACACUGGCACUGAGACACGGGCCAGACUCCUACGGGAGGCAGCAGUGAGGAAUAUUGGUCAAUGGGUGAGAGCCUGAACCAGCCAUCCCGCGUGCAGGAUGACGGUCCUAGUGAUUGUAAACUGCUUUUCCAUGAGAUGAAUAAGAAUUACGUGUAGUUCGAUGACCGUAUUAUAGGAAUAAGCAUCGGCUAACUCCGUG